AUUGAACGCUGGCGGCAGGCCUAACACCUGCAAGUCGAGCGAGCGGCGGACGGGUGAGUAAUGUAUGGGGACUGCCCGAUAGAGGGGGAUAAAUACUGGAAACGGUGGCUAAUACCGCAUACUAUCGGAUAACCCAUAUGGGAUUAGCUAGUAGGUGGGGUAUAGGCUCACCUAGUCCACGAUCUCUAGCUGGUCUGAGAGGAUGAGCAGACACCAUGUGACUGAGCCACGGCCCAUACUCCGACGGAGGCAGCAGUGGGGAAUAUUGCACAAGGGGCGCAAGCCUGAUGCAGCCAUGCCGCGUGUAUGAAGAAGGCCUUAGGGUUGUAAAGUACUUUCAGCGGGGAGGCGUUACCCGCAGAAGAAGCACCGGCGAACACGGUGACAGCAGCCGCGGUAAUUC
rnacentral:rRNA from 1 species